UACGGAGGGUGCAAGCGUUAAUCGGAAUUACUGGGCGUAAAGCGUGCGUAGGCGGUUCGUUAAGUCUGUUGUGAAAGCCCCGGGCUCAACCUGGGAAUGGCAAUGGAUACUGGCGAGCUAGAGUGUGUCAGAGGAUGGUGGAAUUCCCGGUGUAGCGGUGAAAUGCGUAGAGAUCGGGAGGAACAUCAGUGGCGAAGCGGCCAU
rnacentral:rRNA from 1 species